UGGGGAAUAUUGGACAAUGGACCAAGAGUCUGAUCCAGCAAUUCUGUGUGCACGAUGAAGUUUUUCGGAAUGUAAAGUGCUUUCAGUUGGGAAGAAAAAAUGACGGUACCAACAGAAGAAGUGACGGCUAAAUACGUGCCAGCAGCCGCGGUAAUACGUAUGUCACGAGCGUUAUCCGGAUUUAUUGGGCGUAAAGCGUGUCUAGGUGGUUAUGUAAGUCUGAUGUGAAAAUGCAGGGCUCAACUCUGUAUUGCGUUGGAAACUGUAUAACUAGAGUACUGGAGAGGUAAGCGGAACUACAAGUGUAGAGGUGAAAUUCGUAGAUAUUUGUAGGAAUGCCGAUGGGGAAGCCAGCUUACUGGACAGAUACUGACGCUGAAGCGCGAAAGCGUGGGUAGCAAACAGGAUUAGAUACCCUGGUAGUCCACGCCGUAAACGAUGAUUACUAGGUGUUGGGGGUCGAACCUCAGCGCCCAAGCAAACGCGAUAAGUAAUCCGCCUGGGGAGUACGUACGCAAGUAUG
rnacentral:rRNA from 1 species